GUAGAAACUUGGAUGGAACCUGGCUACUAUAGAAGCCCUGUUGUUGGGAAAGUUCAGACGUCAACGAAGCCCGAAAGGGGUCUGGAGUAAAGUCGAUCGUGGCUGGGAGAAGUCCGAAAGAGAUUCGGAGAAUAGUUUAUUACUGUAGAAGAUCGACUGAUAGUGAAGCCCGGAGAGUGUUUGGAGCGGCCCGAUAGAUGAAUGGAGAGG
rnacentral:lncRNA from 1 species